rnacentral:rRNA from 1 species
GAUGAACGCUGGCGGCGUGCCUAAUACAUGCAAGUCGAGCGAACAGACGAGGAGCUUGCUCCUUUGACGUUAGCGGCGGACGGGUGAGUAACACGUAGGUAACCUACCUAUAAGACUGGGAUAACUUGGGGAACCCGAACCUAAUACGGGAUAAUAUUUCGACCCGCAUGGUUCGAUAGGGAAAGAUGGCUUUGCUAUCACUUAUAGAUGACCCUGCGCCGUUUUAGCUAGUUGGUAAGGUAACGGCUUACCAAGGCAACGAUACGUAGCCGACCUGAGAGGGUGAUCGGCCACACUGGAACUGAGACACGGUCCAGACUCCUACGGGAGGCAGCAGUAGGGAAUCUUCCGCAAUGGGCGAAAGCCUGACGGAGCAACGCCGCGUGAGUGAUGAAGGUCUUCUGAUCGUAAAACUCUGUUAUUAGGGAAGAACAAACGUGUAAGUAACUGUGCACGUCUUGACGGUACCUAAUCAGAAAGCCACGGCUAACUACGUG